rnacentral:tRNA from 1 species
GGUCGCUUAGCUCAGUUGGUUAGAGGUAAAUGCAUCUUUCCAAACAGCUUCCUAGCAUCUGAUCUAACAAUGAACAGCGUGGUGCUAAUAGCAAACACAAUUUGCAAACGCCAAGGUAAGCAAAAUUGCUAGAUCUUCCAAAGUGCGAUUAAGGCUAACUAAUUAUUCCAAGGUCGCGAGUUCGACCCUCGUAGUGACCA